GGGGAAUUUUGGACCAUGGGCGCAAGCCUGUUCCAGCCAUGCCGCGUGCAGGAUGAAGGCCUUCGGGUUGUAAACUGCUUUUGUACGGAACGAAAAGACUCUGGUUAAUACCUGGGGUCCAUGACGGUACCGUAAGAAUAAUCACCGGCUAACUACGUGCCAGCAGCCGCGGUAAUACGUAGGGUGCAAGCGUUAAUCGGAAUUACUGGGCGUAAAGCGUGCGCAGGCGGUUAUGCAAGACAGAUGUGAAAUCCCCGGGCUCAACCUGGGGACUGCAUUUGUGACUGCAUAGCUGGAGUGCGGCAGAGGGGGAUGGAAUUCCGCGUGUAGCAGUGUAAUGCGUAGAUAUGCUGAGGGACACCGAUGGCGAAGGCAAUCCCCUGGGCCUGCACUGACGCUCACGCACGACAGCGGGGGGAGCAAACA
rnacentral:rRNA from 1 species